rnacentral:lncRNA from 1 species
UAGGGGAUUUAUUUGGGUAAGGACAGAUAAAUGGUUUUAAGAGAAAAGUCUCAAACGUAUCAAAAGUUGCAAGUUCUACAAUAUAUGACUAAUGGUCCACUCAAACAAAGAAACACAAACAUGUAAUCUAUGAUAUAAAAGCCGCUCAAAUUCUCACAUAUCUAGAAGGGUAUGGUAUGUGACAUGCAUAAACUACUAGUUUCUUAGGCGGAUUAUUCCCAAAUAACCACCCACUAAAUACCCGUCAUGCUAUUAACUUGAACUUGACCAUGACAAAAGACCAAAUGGUUUGUGACAUCCCUCGUUGACUUAGUUACUUGUGCUUUUAAGAUCGCUUUUUUUAGACAAGAUAUUUUGAAAAAUUUUUGAAAUUUCCCCCCAAUCCCCACACUUGAGGUAAACAUUGUCCUCAAUGUGUAGUGUUUAAAUGAACGGGUCAAAAACGAAAAUUUUUACUACUCCCCCAUCCCCACACUUGAAGUACAUAUUGUCCUCAAUGUGUGAAAACUAGAGUAUUAGAUGCACAAGGGAUGUGACACGGCUAAUUCCCCCAAACUUUCACCCCGGAAAUUAAAUACAAAAAUACACUCCACUUAAUACUAAACUACGAAUCAAGGCAAAAGGAAACGCAUGCACCUGAUUUUUUUUUGUCGCUUGAUGCCCAUAUUUCCUUCUUCUCUUCACAAAACCGGUUGUCUCUCGAACAUCAUAUACCUACAAAUUCUAACCCUUGUGUAGAAGCAUGCUUCUCACAACCAUUGAAAUUUGUUAGGAUUGUAGUUCUACCGUUUUUAUAAAAGUAUUACCAAGUC